AUUGAACGCUGGCGGCAGGCCUAACACAUGCAAGUCGAACGAGUGGCGGACGGGUGAGUAAUGUCUGGGAAACUGCCAGAUGGAGGGGGAUAAAUACUGGAAACGGUAGCUAAUACCGCAUACUACGGGUGGCGCCCAGAUGGGAUUAGCUGGUAGGUGGGGUAAGGGCUCACUAGGGCGACGAUCCCUAGCUGGUGUGAGAGGAUGACCAGCCACACUGGAACUGAGACACGGUCCAGACUCCUACGGGAGUCAGCAGUGGGGAAUAUUGCACAAUGGGCGCAAGCCUGAUGCAGCCAUGCCGCGUGUAUGAAGAAGGCCUUCGGGUUGUAAAGUACUUUCAGCGGGGAGGCGUUACCCGCAGAAGAAGCACCGGCUAACUCCGUGCCAGCAGCCGCGGUAAUAC
rnacentral:rRNA from 1 species